AUGCUUGCCUCGGCAGCACAUAUACUAAAAUUGGAACGAUACAGAGAAAACUAGCAUGGCCCCUGCGCAAGAAUGACACGCAAAUUCGUGAAGUGUUCCAUAUUUUA
ensembl:snRNA U6 U6 spliceosomal RNA